rnacentral:rRNA from 1 species
CCUACGGGUGGCUUCAGUGGGGAAUAUUGGACAAUGGGCGAAAGCCUGAUCCAGCCAUGCCGCGUGUGUGAAGAAGGCCUUCGGGUUGUAAAGCACUUUCAGUGGGGAAGAAAGCCUUGGGGCUAAUACCCUCGAGGAAGGACAUCACCCACAGAAGAAGCACCGGCUAACUCCGUGCCAGCAGCCGCGGUAAUACGGAGGGUGCGAGCGUUAAUCGGAAUUACUGGGCGUAAAGCGCGCGUAGGCGGUCUGAUAAGCCGGUUGUGAAAGCCCCGGGCUCAACCUGGGAACGGCAUCCGGAACUGUCAGGCUAGAGUGCAGGAGAGGAAGGUAGAAUUCCCGGUGUAGCGGUGAAAUGCGUAGAGAUCGGGAGGAAUACCAGUGGCGAAGGCGGCCUUCUGGACUGACACUGACGCUGAGGUGCGAAAGCGUGGGUAGCAAACAGGAUUAGUACCCGAGUAGUC